GGGACUUCCCUAGUCAGGCUUGGAAGUGGCGGAGGGCCGUCCGGGGAGGCCCGACCCUGAGGGGGAGAUUUACCAGGGAUCCUGGUGCCCGCCUCCCGCCCCCCACCGGCGGCGGAGCCCGAGUCGACCAGGCCAGCGCCGCGGCUCCGACGCCGCCGCCCCCUCGGCUGGGCCCCUCUCCUCCCGUCCCGCCCCGGCGAGGGGCUGGGGGGCGAUGCGCGGAGGGCGGCUGGCGGUGGCGUGGGCCGCACCUGGCCCGCCCGCCGCCGUCUCCGCGCUGCCCUCCGCCGCCCGCCGGGUGUCAGGUGCUGCGGGGCUGCUAGGCCCCGCCCCCCGGCCCGAUGGAUCCCGAGGCCCAGAGGCCGCGCGCGGAACCCGCCCGCAAAGACAGGUGGCUUCCAGGAGAAAGAUGUCUUGCUCCUUCUCCACGCGAUGAAAAACUUUGUGAAGCGAGCAUAAAAUCUAUCACAGUGGAUGAAAAUGGCAAGUCAUUUGCCGUUGUCUUAUAUUCAGAUUUUCAAGAAAGGAAAAUACCUCUUAAAAGACUUCAAGAAGUAAAGUCUGCUAAAGGUUGCCCCAGGAAUUUUAUAUUCGAUGAUGAAGAUUUGGAAAAGCCUUUUUUCCCAGAUCGAAAAUUCCCAUCAUCUGCCAAUGCCUUUAAAUUAUCUGAAGAUGGAGACUCUAUUCCUUAUACUAUUAAUAGGUAUUUGAGAGACUACCAAAGGGAAGGCGCCCAGUUUCUCUAUGGACACUAUAUCCAAGGAAGAGGAUGUAUUCUUGGUGAUGACAUGGGACUUGGAAAAACAGUACAGGUUAUUUCAUUUCUGGCCGCAGUUUUACAUAAAAAGGGAACGCGUGAAGAUAUUGAAAAUAACAUGCCAGAAUUUUUACUAAGAAGUAUGAAGAAGGAACCCCUUUCUUCUACAGUAAAAAAGAUGUUCUUAAUAGUUGCUCCUCUUUCUGUCCUCUACAACUGGAAGGAUGAAUUAGAUACCUGGGGGUAUUUCAGAGUCACUGUUUUACAUGGUAACAAAAAAGACAAUGAACUGCUCCGGAUAAAGCAGAGGAAAUGUGAAAUUGCUCUAACAACUUAUGAAACGCUGCGCUUGUGUCUGGAUGAACUUAACAGUUUGGAGUGGUCAGCCAUCAUUGUAGAUGAAGCUCAUAGAAUCAGGAAUCCAAAGGCAAGAGUAACAGAAGCUAUGAAAGCUCUAAAGUGUAACGUUCGCAUCGGCCUCACUGGAACCAUUCUUCAGAACAACAUGAAGGAACUGUGGUGUGUUAUGGACUGGGCUGUGCCAGGACUUUUAGGUAGCAGGUCCCACUUCAAAAAGCAGUUUUCUGACCCGGUAGAACACGGUCAGAGACACACAGCAACCAAAAGAGAACUAGCUACUGGCCGAAAGGCCAUGCGAAGGCUUGCAAAAAAGAUGUCUGACUGGUUUCUCAGGCGGACCAAGACUCUUAUCAAGGAUCAAUUGCCUAAGAAGGAAGACCGGAUGGUUUAUUGCUCUCUGACAGAUUUCCAGAAAGCUGUCUAUCAAACAGUGUUAGAAACAGAAGAUGUGACUCUGAUACUUCAAUCUUCUAAGCCUUGUACCUGUGGCAGUGGCCGAAAAAGGAGAAAUUGUUGUUAUAAGACCAAUUCCCAUGGAGAGAGCGUGCAAACCUUGUACCUCAGUUACCUCACAGUCCUGCAGAAGGUCGCCAGCCACGUCGCACUGCUGCAAGCUGCAGGGGCCUCCAGACAACAGGAAACACUUAUCAAAAGGAUAUGUGAUCAGGUAUUUUCCAAAUUCCCGGAAUUUGUGCAGAAAAGCAAAGAUUCAUCCUUUGAAACUCUUUCUGACCCUAAAUACAGCGGGAAAAUGAAGGUUCUUCAGCAGCUUUUAAAUCAUUUCAGAAAAAACAGAGAUAAGGUUCUUCUUUUCUCUUUUUCCACCAAGUUGCUUGAUGUGCUCCAGCAAUACUGUAUGGCAUCUGGGCUCGAUUACCGGAGACUUGAUGGAAGUACAAAAUCAGAGGAAAGACUCAAGAUCGUGAAAGAGUUCAACAGCACUCAAGAUGUUAACAUUUGCCUUGUCUCUACCAUGGCUGGUGGACUUGGCCUCAAUUUUGUUGGUGCCAAUGUUGUUAUAUUAUUUGAUCCAACUUGGAAUCCAGCCAAUGAUCUUCAAGCCAUUGACAGAGCAUACAGGAUUGGACAGUGCAGAGAUGUCAAAGUGCUUAGGCUGAUAUCCUUGGGAACUGUGGAGGAGAUCAUGUAUUUACGACAGGUAUACAAACAGCAACUUCACUGUGUGGUAGUUGGAAGUGAAAAUGCCAAGCGAUAUUUUGAAGCAGUUCAAGGAUCAAAAGAGCAUCGAGGAGAACUUUUUGGGACCUAUAACCUCUUCAAACUAAGAGCCCAAGGAUCUUGUCUUACGAGGGACAUCCUGGAGAGAGAAGGCCAAGUGGAAGCAGGAAUCAUGACCGCAACAACGUGGUUGAAAGAGGAACCUUCAGCACAUGAAUUAGGAACGCCCAGGGAGCCUGACUGUCAAGAACCCAGAGGACGAGACCUACCUGCAGAGCCACUGGCAGUGGAAGCAUGUGAUCCUUGCAGUGACUUUAGUGAUGAUGAAUCAGUGAGAACCUCAAGAAGAAAGACUGCUAAAAAAGCAUCUGAUUCAAAUCAGACUCCAGGUUCUUCAGGGCAGCUUACCUUACUCCAAUGUGGUUUCUCUAAACUGUUGGAAGCAAAACGUCCAGCAGUUGAAGAUAGCGAUGGAAAUACUGCAUCUGAUGGUGGAAGUUCUGAGGAGCAGCCCAUGUGCCUUCCAGCAGAAGCCAAAGAUGGUGGCCGUCAGAAAACUCAGGACCCUGUUGCUACUUCAAAACCUCAGAAAUUAGAUAACACCCUAGAUCCAAAUGAAAAAUGUGUUUUUGAUAAAAGUGAGAAAGUGUUAGAACAGAGUGUUUCUUCUGAAUCUGAUGUUGAAAAAAACUCUGCACAUACAGCUGGACGUCAGUGCAUUAUACAGAGUGGCACCGAAUCAGAAGACAGUGACAUCAUCCUUCCCACACAGUAUACAGUUCCCCCAUUCCCUAACAAUCGAACCAGGUACAAGCCACCGUUGGAUGAAUCUGAAGGUUCUGAAACAGAAAACCCUGUAAAAACAAGAAGCAGUGGUGAUGGUGAACAGACUGAUGACAGAAGAAGUGGGCUAAUCGCAAAGGUUUCAAAUCCUGAGAGCAGGACCCCGAAACCUAUUAUGAAAAGACAAGACACUGGCAAUAUUAGCGAUGAAUCUGAUGACAUUGAAAUUUACCCCGAGACGAGAGUAAGAAAACAAAGAGCUACUCAUUUAUUGAGGCUUAGGAGGAAAAAGGAAAACAAAAGAAAACCUUGCAGUUUUCCUAAAACAAGAAAGAAAACAAACCAAUUGUGUGCAACAGAUGAGGACAGUAACUCUCAACUUAUUGAUGACUUUUCAUCCUCAGAUGACAAUAUAUCUGUCAGCCACUUCAGUGACUCUAAACAGAGCUAUAGAACAAAAACUAUAAAAGACAAAAUCUGUUUCUCUUCAAAAUUGCCUAGUCAUGAUAUGAAAAUUAACACUUUUACACCGAGAAAAUCAAUGAAAUUUUCAAAUGAGAGAGUUGCCAAUCAAGAGCAGCUGUAUGAAUCAAUGGAUAAAAUUUUAGAUGGUGUUCAGGAAGUGGCUUAUAUUCACUCCAACCAGCAUGUGAUUGGAUCUAGCAAAGCUGAAAAUCACAUGAGCCGGUGGGCAGCGAGGGACGUGUUUGAGUUGAAGCAGUUUUCCCAGCUUCCUGCCAAUGUAGCUAUCUGCAGUUCCGAGACAUACAAAGAAAAAGUGAACACAGACACAGUGACACAUACAAAGAAAGACCAGCCACCAAGUGAGGGAUCCAUUUCCUUUCCUCUGUGCAUUUCACACCCUGUGUGUCAGAAGAAGAAAAAAGUCCACCGUACAGACCAGACUACCUUUAUAAUUGGAGAAACACCAAAAGGAAUCCGCAGAAAACAAUUUGAAGAAAUGGCCUCUUACUUUAACUUCUCUUCUGUAAAAGAAUUUGCUAACUAUGUAACUAAUGCCACUUCAGAAGAACGACAGAAAAUGCUAAGAGACUUUUAUGCUUCUCAGUAUCCAGAGGUCAAAGAACUUUUUGUGGAUUCUGCUUCAGAAUUCAUCAAAUCUGCCCGCAAGGAAGGAAAGAAUAUCAGAAAUAAAUAUGAAGAAAGAGACUCUCUUAAGAAAGCAAAGCCAUCACAUUCUAAAAUUUUGUCCUUUAAAGAUUGUACCAACCAAAUUUCUCAAAUUUGUAGUCCAAAAGUAUCUAAAGGAAAAUCAAUUAGCUUUCAGAGUUAUGGCGCCUGUAGGGAAAAGACCCUUCCCAGUGAUGCAGAAACUCCCAGAUCACCCCUUAGCACUACUCAAGAGAAAGACAGGCGAGCCUGCAGAGACCCCACCACCUCCCGCUCGCUCAACAGCACCCCCAAGGCACAGGAGAGGCAGCUAGAAAAUAUCACGCAAGACCGAAAGGACCUCGCAGGAACAGGCAUCUCAGGAAACAGACCCCUUUUCAAGUCAGAAAACAGACAGGCAGAAAAUCCAGCCUUAGGAAAUGCUUCUGUGGAAGGCUUGCUUGGUGACACCUCUAUUCUUGAUGACCUCUUUAAAAGUCAUGGGAACAGUCCCACACAACUGCCAAAGAAAGUUCUUUCAGGGCCCGUGGAAAAAGCAAAGCAGAGACCAAAAGACUUCUGGGACAUCCUGAAUGAGCAGAAUGAGGACCAUCUCAGUAAACUGACUGACGUGGCAGUCAUAGAGACCCUGUGUGAAAAAGCCCCCAUUGCCACCCGCUCCAGAAGGAAAGAGGGGCUGGAAACCUCCCUCUGGAAAUCCAAUGAGAAGUUUCUGUGGAAAACAUUGAACUCGAGUGAUACAGAUGAAAACACAAGCAACACGCAGAGCGGGUGACAGGAGCGUGUGAGUGAGCUCGUACGCCAGGGAGUCACGCCCGCACAAUGGCUGACCAUCCCAUCAUGAACACGCAAAUUAGCUUUGCCUUCAUCAGAAGCUCAGUUAUUAAAGCAACGCAGGCGGAGGUUGUUGGUUCACGCUGCCCCCGAUGAGCUCACAGCUUGGAAACCUCCAACCCCAGGUUCCCAUGAUCCUGUUUGCCACAGUCUGCCUUCUUCACUUCUCUUUUGAAGCGCUGGCAGUUCCUGGCAGCUGGCGCUCGCCACGCAGCUCAUCACAGUGGCAAUGGACACAAGGCGCAGGCCCGUCGUGCUGGGUUUCCUCAGCGUUCCCUUAAGGCCCUGAAACCACUUCUUUGGGAGAUUAGCAGGCGGUGCAGCGGCCCCAAAAUAUUCAGGGCAAAGGAGCCUUAGUCCUCAGAGGUGCGCGGGUGAUGAAUUUCCUUCUGCUCACAGAAAAUCAGUAAGCUACAGGCAACUCGGAGGCGUUCUUUCACGUUCAGGCCACGCAGUUUGCAGACUCGAAUUAUCCUUCCUCCGCGUUGUUAAAACAAGCCUCUUUAUGAAAUGGUGAUGGGAGAUCAUCGUUUUUAGACCUUUUAUUGUCUUACUUGAUAUAAAAGCUGGUAGCCAUAUGUCAGUCCCAAAAGUUUUAUUUGACAUUUACUGGUCUAUAAAAUCCAGAAGAACGGAGACCGUAGCCUGCCUUAAAGGUCAUGUUUAAUAUACAAGCACAUGAGCUCCGUAAGUUAGGAUGUCACAAAUCCAGUUAAGAAUGGGUGUGGAGGACCCAGCAGCAGUGCCACUGACCCAUAGACCUAGGAGGCGCGCCGUCUCCAACGUGCAGGUCGCUCUCCUGGCUCCUCGCCUCUUCCGUCAUCACCACCGGAGUGACCUUGCUCCAUCUCCCACCUGCUUCUGCAAAGCUCCCUCCACCUGCUGCUUCCGGGCGCCCCAACAGGACGAUUCAUAAGCCACUUCCCACUGGUGACGCCGCACGCACAGGAGCCUGGCUGCUGUGGCGUUCAUGGCAGGUGGGAAGGGCAUCUCGCUCUCCUCUUGUUCAAGGGCAACCCAGCAAGGCCACCUUGCAUCCUAAGGACUUCCGGGGGAGGGGGAGAGAGGCAGGUCCACUUUUCCUUCCAGCCCAGGCUCUCAAGUUGGCCCCGGCAGAGGCUCUGCUGUGCCAGGUGCCCAGGUCCCUCCGAGGACUGCUACAGGGGUCUAGGGCAGACACCGGCACCUCUGUAGCUUUUCGGCUUUCACAGUCGUGCCAACGAGCCAGCACUUAGUCAGAGGUUCGUUACUGGGCAAGGCUCACCUGCCUGGCCUUCUGUUCCCUUGAGAAUCAUCAUCUCCAGAGAGGCACUUCACCGAGCCCGGCUGACCCCACCUCCUUCUGUGCCCCCUCCACCCCCGAGUAAAACCAGUGACUUGGGGCCAAGUUCAUGAUGGAGCCCACUCUACUGUUUUUUAAAGCCCAAAGUCAUUAUGUUCCUAUAGAGAUGUCCAUGCACAGCUGUGUACGCAUGUUCAAGACAGUAGCUAAAACAGGGGAGCAACCCAGGUGUCCAUCAGUGGAUGAACAGACGUGCAAAACAGAGCAUGUGUGCGUGUCACAUUAUUCAGCUUUAAAAAGGAAGGAAAUCCUGACACGUGCCAUGACACGGAUGAACCCUGAGGACCUUAGGCAAAAUGAAGUAAGAUAGACACAGAAGAGCAAAUACUGUGUGAUCCCACUUACAGGAGUCACAGAGCACAGACGGGUGCCAGGCACUGGAGGGAGGGGAGGCAGCUGGGGAGGUCCAGUCUCAAGGCCUGGAGAUGGGGGCCAGCGGUGGUCCCACGACACAUGAACGUAUUGAAAACCACUAACUGUGCAGUAGGCGCCAAAAUGGUGAAGAUGGAGGAUUUUGUUACAUAUAGUUUGCAACUUAAAAAAUGGGGGGGGAAAUAUAGCCAAAAGCAACCCCUCACUCAAAAUGUGUUACAUACCAAAUUUUAAAUACCUGAGAUUGACUUUCUAUUAAUUUCAUGUAUAUAUUUGGAAUUAUAAAUUUCAAUUUUUGUUUUUUACACUGCAGUUCCAUAUAACAUUUUUUAAAGCUUCCCUUGUUUUAAAAAAUUUGGAAAAUAAAAUAUAUAGUAUUA